AUAUACAUUUUAGAUAUUCUUGAUAUUUAUAGUUCGCAAGAUCAUUUAUCUUGAUAUACAUAUACAUAUACAUACUAAACUUAUCAUAUACAUAUCAUAUACAUACUAAACGUAUCAUCAUAACGUAGUGGACUAUAUGUCAGAGAUCAGAUGACACCCGAAGGUGACCAGAUGACACCCGAAGGUGACCAGACCAGAUGACACCCGAAGGUGACCACUGUGGGAUGAUCAGUCGCCACAGGCUGAUGCCUCUCUCACCAGCUAGGUAUACAUACAGAAUACUAUGUGCACACAGGCUAACUACUCUCCGUUAGCAUGGAGUUACUGACAAGUCCCAUAUCAAGGCAUAAUAGAUAUUCACAUAAUCAUCAAGAAACGUAUAUCAUAUCAAAUAGGAUUUACUUUGACAGAUUGCGAGUGCAAAUUCAAGAAUAAAUGAGUACUCGGAAAAUAAGCAACAUAUAUAAUUAUUCAAGGAAUUAACGAGUUGUACUCAUUGUAUAAUCAACAUACAUAUUUACUUAUCAUAUAUGCAUAUUAAAGAUUAUUCCACUCACCCGGAAAAUAUAGAACUAAAAGGAAUGUCAGACGAAAGACCCGAAAAUCCUAUUGAGGAUCGUUAGGAGAACCUACAACAAUACGAAAAUAUACUCAAAAGCAACUCAAACAAGAGAUCCCAAUGCAUAAAAGAAAACCAGGUUUAGUCUCCUAAGUUUAUGGACUAAAACGAUAAUUUUCCAAAACAGGGACCAAAACGUAAUUUUACCAAAAUUGGACCAAUCUGGAAAAUACAUAACUAUACUGAAUUUUCACCCAUAAACCAUCCUUAAUUCUGUCUAGAACGAACCAGGGACCGAACUGUAAUUUUCAUAAAGUUCAGGGACUAAAAUGUAAAUUCCCGAAAUUGAGGGACCAAACUGAAAAUAUUCCAAAUCAAUUAUCAAACUCAGAUUCAUCAUCCUUAACCUCAUAAUAACACUGUCCAGAAUCUCAAAAUACAAUUAGGGGUCAAAUUAUAAUUUUACCAAAGUUUAGGGACUAAAUUGUAAUUUCACAAAUUGAGGGACCAAAUUGAAUUUUCGUCAUCUUCAACCUCAAACCCAGAAUUUCACAGAUUACCUACUGUCAUCUUCUGAUUUCUAACACAAUUUCACCAUUCAAACAAAAUCAUAACUCAAAAUCAUCAUCUUUACCUCCAAUCUCUCACAAUCAACUAAUUAACCAAUUACCCACAACAAUCAACCCAUAACCUUCCAAUUAAUUCAUCAAUCAAACUCAAAACACAAUAUUCAAAACCCUAACAUUUAUCAAAACAGAACUUAAAGCUUAAAGAACACACAUUUAUACAUAAUCUUACCUUUAAACUUAUUUUCCUCUACUUCUCUCCCUUUUCCCUUCUCUUCCCCUCUUUUCUCUUCUUCUUCUUCCUCCUCCCUUCUCUCUCACGGUUUGCUCCUUCCAUUUUCAGAUCCCUCUUUCUUUCUUCUUCUUUCUUUUAUUUAUAUUUAUCAACUAUUGUUCAAUUACCACAAUACCCCUCAUUUAAUUAUACUUACUUCUAAGCCUCCAAGGGCUUGGUUGCCCUUUCCUACUAAUUUAUUUGCAAAACAUCACAAUCUCCCCACCUUAUAAAAGUUUCGUCCUCGAAACUUAAAAUUUAAGAACCAAAGUCUUACCAUCAUGAUCAAAUAAAUUAUUUAAAACUUAUCUCUAAAAUUGUAUUUCUUAAACUAUCAUUUAAAGUCCACUUAAAAAAAAAAUCAAUAUAUAGCACCAUGCUUUCGUUGCGCACUCUGAUAUAUCCACUGAAAAAAAUAUCUCAUGCAUAACUUUUCUUAAUUCAUAUCCCUCAAAAUCAAACAACACACCCUUCAAUUUCUCUUGAAUCAACUUUUCUCAAAUAACUUAUCUCAAAUCAUAUCUCUUCAAAAAUCAAAACGCAUCCUCAUAAUUUAUUUAUUUUUAAGCAUCAGGUAAAAGAAUUCAGCCUUAUAGUUGGGGAAUGUCAUGAAGUAACAGAGUCUAAUGAACAACAACAAUUAUGAGCUCAAACUUUCAAGAGGUAUCAAUCAUGGAGGAGAUUUCGCUUGCAAAAGCAAUAAGCGAUGAAGAUGAUAAGAUGUAUGUAGUUCUCUCAACCACCAUAACAACUAAAGAGUCAGAUGAAAUGAUAAAGACUAUAAAGGAGGAACAUAGUUGUUGUGACAAGAUUAAGGCAACAAUUAUGGUAAAGAUAACAAAAACCAGCUUGGAAGAAGCUUAGAUGGAUGAAAAGUUGUUAUAUGGUUUCAAUAUUACCUCAAAUGAUAGUGUUUCUCUUGAAAUUGAAGCAAAAACAUGUUUGAUAAGAAAAAAAAAAUCAAAGAUAACAUGGGACUUAAGAUACCCUACUUGAGAACUGAGGAUGCAUAGUAUAAGCAGUUUGGUGUGCUUCCGUCAUCACAUCUCUUUUCAAACCAUCCACCUCAGGCACACAUAACCUGGAACCAAAUCUCAACACACCAUCUUCAUGGAUAACAAAACCCGGAGCUCUCCCUAACUCCAACUCAUCUCUAAUCUUGCAAAGUCGCUCAUCCUUCAUUUGAGCUACUUUAAUUCGGUCUACCAAGUCUGACAUAGCCUGAAAGUGAGCCAACAAUGCUCCCGAUUCACAAAUCUCAAAACUGACCCUCUCAUCUAACAAUCAGUGUAACUCUUUAAUCAAAGGUCUCCUCACCUCCUGAAUAUGAGCCAAACUACCCAUAGAUUUUCUGCUUAAGGCAUCGGCAACAACAUUUGCCUUGCCCGGGUGAUAUUGAAUCGUGCAAUCAUAAUCACUUAACAAUUCCAUCCACCUUUUCUAUCUCAAAUUCAGAUCCUUAUGCUGGAAGAUAUAUUGAAGACUUUUAUGAUCUGAAAAUAUCUCACAUGUCUCCCCAUACAAGUAGUGUCUCUAAAUUUUAAGGGCAAACACUACUGCAACCAUCUCCAAAUCAUGUGUGGGGUAAUUUUGUUCGUGCUUCUUCAACUUUCUCGAGGCAUAAGCAAUCACAUUACCGUUCUGCAUCAAAACACAACCCAAACCAAUCCUGGAUGCAUCAUAGUACACGGUAAAACCACCAGACCCUGAAGAUACUGUUAAAAUAGGAGCUGUAAUUAACCUUUCCUUCAACUCCAGGAAACUCUUUUCACAUUCUUCUGACCAUUGAAACUUGACAUUUUUUUUUUUUUGUCAACUUAGUCAUUGGAGCAGCAAUUCAGGAAAAAUUCUCCACGAAUCUCCUGUAAUAUCAUGUUAAACCCAUAAAACUCCUAAUCUCAGAUAUUGUAACUGGUCUAGGCCACUGCUUAAUUGCCUCCACUUUUUGUGGAUCAACCUCUAUCCUAUUCUUGGACACUACAUGUCCCAGAAACCCAACAGUUUCUAACCAAAACUCACUCUUCAAGAAUUUUCCAUACAACUGAUGAUCUCUCAGAGUUUGAAGCACCAAUCUCAAAUGCUGCUCAUGCUCUUCUCUAGACCUCGAAUACACCAAAAUGUCAUCAAUGAACACAAUAACAAACUUAUCAAUAAACGGCCUAAAAACCCUGUUCAUCAUGUCCAUAAAAGCUGCAGGUGCAUUCGUUAACCCAAAAGACAACACUAGGAACUCGUAAUGCCCAUAACGAGUCCUAAAGGCAGUUUUAGGAACAUCCUCAUUCCUAAUCCUCAACUGGUGAUACCCCGAUCGCAAAUCAAUUUUUGAGAAACAUUGAGCUCUUUGUAAUUGAUCAAAAAGGUCAUCAAUGCGAGGGAGUGGGUAUUUAUUCUUAACAGUGACCUUGUUCAACUGCCUAUAGUCUAUACACAUCCUCAUUGAUCCAUCAUUGGGACCUCUAUGUUCACAUCAUGCACAUAAGCCAAAAACCCAUGCAUACCCUUCUGUACCAUCCUUCUCGUACCAUCCUUCUCGUGAUGGCCGGGAAAAUACUAGAUGGAGAUGAUACUUUAUCUUCAUGAAAAGCAAAUUUGUAUCCUCAUUAGGUUUGAAAGCUAUUAUCUUAUUCCAACAAUCAACUGAGACAUGGUGUCUUGACAACUAAUCCAUACCUAAUAUCACAUAAAAUGCUCACUAUUUCUAAAAGUACCAAAUCACCCAAUUUUAGAUAAGUAUAUUAAUCAACAUAUAGAUCAUAAUCAAAAGCCUAUAAUAACAACCUUCAUAAGUAAUUCUCCAAUAACAGUCUCAUCAUCCAUAACUAAUUAAUCAUAUUUCAACUUUCUCCUGCAUUUAAAAUCUAUAUUUCUGAAAUAAAAAUAUUGCGGAAAGAGAUGAGCGUCCACGACUCAAAAAGUAAUCAAAAUAAACACACCCAGAAAAAUAUUAUCAAACACAAAUUUUUCAUUGAAUAUUGUCAACGAUAUAUAUAUCAUAGAAAAAGAUUAUUAGACAUAUUUUUCAGAAUACUUACCAAAGAUAACACAUAUAGAUAUAAAUAUGAUGUAAAAUCAGAUUUAAAUACAAAAAUACUAUAAGUUGUUCAAUUACUUAAAAGCACAUACUUACAUUCAAUAUACACUCACUAACAUGAUUUGCACAUAUACAUACUUUUAGAGCACUACAAAUCAGAAAAUCAGCUCAUUUACAUAUAUUAUAUAUACUUCCAAAAAAAAUAUAUUUAUACCAAAUACUUAUGCUUAAGUAUUUUCAAGAAAUAUUAUUACUCAAAUACACGUUUUAUGCAAAUACUUUCAAAGAUAUACUUAUAUCAAAUAUUCACACACACAAGUAUAUGCAAAACACGUAUACCACAUAUAUUAUAUCCAAGAAUAUACUUAUAUCAAAUAUUGUCAGCCAUGUAUGAAAAACACAUAUUAUACAUAGUAUAUCCAUUGAUAUAUUUAUAUCAACCAUUCACAUAAUAUAUAUUUCCCCACAUGUAUAUCAACACGGCAAUAAAAAAAAAAGUUCAAAGAAGACAAUGAGGAAUCACAAUAAGACAAGAAGGAUCCUAAGCUCCACAUAUUACAAGUUUUUUUUUUUUUAAAAAAAAGGACCAAGUUUUAACAAAACCAAGCUACAGGGAUUUAACAAGAACCUGGCUCUGAUACCACCUUUGUAACGACCCGAAUCCCGGGUCCAUGACCGGCAACGCAGGAGCGGUGCCGGAAGGACACCCCGCCCGCGCUAAGCCUCAAAACGAACAUAUCAAAAGAAUAAUUUAUUCAAAAAUACGCAGCAUUUCAUAAUCUUCAGAAAUAUUAUAUCCUUCAAAACUGAUGAAACCAAAAGAUAGUUUAAAACUCUUCAUCAGUAAUUAAAACAAAAACAAUAAUCCAUAAUACUCAUUACAUUGUCAAAAAUCCAAACUUAAUUAAAACAAGGUAAUAGUGGAGCGCCUAAGACAUCGAAUCAAACAGCCUUGAAAGAUAAGCAAGGCAUACCGACCCAAAACUGAAGAAGCAGGAACACUCAACAAGGUUCACCUGCUAUCAGAAACUAAGAACCUGAAAUAAUAUUAAGAAUGAGGGGUGAGUUCAACCAACUCAGUGAGGGAAUAAUAAUUAAUAUACAUUUUAGAUAUUCUUGAUAUUUAUAGUUCGCAAGAUCAUUUAUCUUGAUAUACAUAUACAUAUACAUACUAAACUUAUCAUAUACAUAUCAUAUACAUACUAAACGUAUCAUCAUAACGUAGUGGACUAUAUGUCAGAGAUCAGAUGACACCCGAAGGUGACCAGAUGACACCCGAAGGUGACCAGACCAGAUGACACCCGAAGGUGACCACUGUGGGAUGAUCAGUCGCCACAGGCUGAUGCCUCUCUCACCAGCUAGGUAUACAUACAGAAUACUAUGUGCACACAGGCUAACUACUCUCCGUUAGCAUGGAGUUACUGACAAGUCCCAUAUCAAGGCAUAAUAGAUAUUCACAUAAUCAUCAAGAAACGUAUAUCAUAUCAAAUAGGAUUUACUUUGACAGAUUGCGAGUGCAAAUUCAAGAAUAAAUGAGUACUCGGAAAAUAAGCAACAUAUAUAAUUAUUCAAGGAAUUAACGAGUUGUACUCAUUGUAUAAUCAACAUACAUAUUUACUUAUCAUAUAUGCAUAUUAAAGAUUAUUCCACUCACCCGG
rnacentral:lncRNA from 1 species